AAGUAGAGUGGCGCACGGGUGAGUAACACGUAGGUAAUCUACCUUUGGAUUGGGAAUAACACCGAGAAAUCGGUGCUAAUACCGAAUAAUGCAGCGGCACCUAAUGGUGACAGUUGUUAAAGCGGGGGAUCGCAAGACCUCGCGUCUAAAGAGGAGCCUGCGGCGGAUUAGCUAGUUGGUAAGGUAACAGCUUACCAAGGCGAUGAUCCGUAGCCGGCCUGAGAGGGCGGUCGGCCACACUGACACUGACAUACGGGUCAGACUCCUACGGGAGGCAGCAGUCGGGAAUUUUGGGCAAUGGGCGAAAGCCUGACCCA
rnacentral:rRNA from 1 species